rnacentral:RNase_P_RNA from 1 species
CGAGCGGCUCCGGUAACCGCUGCGGCGCCGGCGAGUCCGGCGGCCGGAGAGGAAAGUCCGGGCUCCACAGGGCAGGAUGCCGGGUAACGCCCGGUCGGCGCAAGCCGAAGGAAAGCGCCACAGAAAACAGACGGCCUUCCGAAAGGGAGGCAACGGUGAAAAGGCAGGGUAAGAGCCUACCGGAUACGGUGUAAACCGUAUGCCUGGCAAGCCCCAUCCGGAGCAAGACCGAAUAGAAGGGGAAGAAGCGGCCCGCUGACCCUUGGGUCGGUCGCAGGAGGAACGCCGCGAGGCGUUUCCCAGAUAAAUGGUUACCCACGACAGAACCCGGCUUACGAGCCGCUCGCCUG